rnacentral:lncRNA from 1 species
GAAUAUACCUUUAUAUAACUUCCCACCCGUUUGCCCUCAGAAAGACAUUUCAAGUGGUCUGGAAUCUAGUAUCGGUGGAGGGAUUUCUUACAACUGGACUAUUUGAAGAGGAUUCUUUCAUGAAGAGUGGGCAAAGUGGAAAACAAGUGUGAAGAUCACGAAAAGAACUUAAAGAAAUCUCCUGCUCACAGGUGUUUGCUUUAUGUAACUAACUUCUCUAAUUACCACUUCUCCUUUUUUAAAUUUUGAUUUUCCUAUUUUAUGUCUUCUAAUAUUGUGAACUGCCUAAUGUUUUUUAAAGUGGGAUUAUAAAAAAUAUAUAACAAUAUAAAACGCUG